GGUUAAGCGACUAAGCGUACACGGUGGAUGCCCUGGCAGUCAGAGGCGAUGAAGGACGUGCUAAUCUGCGAUAAGCGUCGGUAAGGUGAUAUGAACCGUUAUAACCGGCGAUUUCCGAAUGGGGAAACCCAGUGUGUUUCGACACACUAUCAUUAACUGAAUCCAUAGGUUAAUGAGGCGAACCGGGGGAACUGAAACAUCUAAGUACCCCGAGGAAAAGAAAUCAACCGAGAUUCCCCCAGUAGCGGCGAGCGAACGGGGAGCAGCCCAGAGCCUGAAUCAGUGUGUGUGUUAGUGGAAGCGUCUGGAAAGGCGCGCGAUACAGGGUGACAGCCCCGUACACAAAAAUGCACAUGCUGUGAGCUCGAUGAGUAGGGCGGGACACGUGGUAUCCUGUCUGAAUAUGGGGGGACCAUCCUCCAAGGCUAAAUACUCCUGACUGACCGAUAGUGAACCAGUACCGUGAGGGAAAGGCGAAAAGAACCCCGGCGAGGGGAGUGAAAAAGAACCUGAAACCGUGUACGUACAAGCAGUGGGAGCACGCUUCGGCGUGUGACUGCGUACCUUUUGUAUAAUGGGUCAGCGACUUAUAUUCUGUAGCAAGGUUAACCGAAUAGGGGAGCCGAAGGGAAACCGAGUCUUAACUGGGCGUUAAGUUGCAGGGUAUAGACCCGAAACCCGGUGAUCUAGCCAUGGGCAGGUUGAAGGUUGGGUAACACUAACUGGAGGACCGAACCGACUAAUGUUGAAAAAUUAGCGGAUGACUUGUGGCUGGGGGUGAAAGGCCAAUCAAACCGGGAGAUAGCUGGUUCUCCCCGAAAGCUAUUUAGGUAGCGCCUCGUGAAUUCAUCUCCGGGGGUAGAGCACUGUUUCGGCAAGGGGGUCAUCCCGACUUACCAACCCGAUGCAAACUGCGAAUACCGGAGAAUGUUAUCACGGGAGACACACGGCGGGUGCUAACGUCCGUCGUGAAGAGGGAAACAACCCAGACCGCCAGCUAAGGUCCCAAAGUCAUGGUUAAGUGGGAAACGAUGUGGGAAGGCCCAGACAGCCAGGAUGUUGGCUUAGAAGCAGCCAUCAUUUAAAGAAAGCGUAAUAGCUCACUGGUCGAGUCGGCCUGCGCGGAAGAUGUAACGGGGCUAAACCAUGCACCGAAGCUGCGGCAGCGACGCUGAUGCGUUGUUGGGUAGGGGAGCGUUCUGUAAGCCUGCGAAGGUGUGCUGUGAGGCAUGCUGGAGGUAUCAGAAGUGCGAAUGCUGACAUAAGUAACGAUAAAGCGGGUGAAAAGCCCGCUCGCCGGAAGACCAAGGGUUCCUGUCCAACGUUAAUCGGGGCAGGGUGAGUCGACCCCUAAGGCGAGGCCGAAAGGCGUAGUCGAUGGGAAACAGGUUAAUAUUCCUGUACUUGGUGUUACUGCGAAGGGGGGACGGAGAAGGCUAUGUUGGCCGGGCGACGGUUGUCCCGGUUUAAGCGUGUAGGCUGGUUUUCCAGGCAAAUCCGGAAAAUCAAGGCUGAGGCGUGAUGACGAGGCACUACGGUGCUGAAGCAACAAAUGCCCUGCUUCCAGGAAAAGCCUCUAAGCAUCAGGUAACAUCAAAUCGUACCCCAAACCGACACAGGUGGUCAGGUAGAGAAUACCAAGGCGCUUGAGAGAACUCGGGUGAAGGAACUAGGCAAAAUGGUGCCGUAACUUCGGGAGAAGGCACGCUGAUAUGUAGGUGAAGUCCCUUGCGGAUGGAGCUGAAAUCAGUCGAAGAUACCAGCUGGCUGCAACUGUUUAUUAAAAACACAGCACUGUGCAAACACGAAAGUGGACGUAUACGGUGUGACGCCUGCCCGGUGCCGGAAGGUUAAUUGAUGGGGUCAGCGCAAGCGAAGCUCUUGAUCGAAGCCCCGGUAAACGGCGGCCGUAACUAUAACGGUCCUAAGGUAGCGAAAUUCCUUGUCGGGUAAGUUCCGACCUGCACGAAUGGCGUAAUGAUGGCCAGGCUGUCUCCACCCGAGACUCAGUGAAAUUGAACUCGCUGUGAAGAUGCAGUGUACCCGCGGCAAGACGGAAAGACCCCGUGAACCUUUACUAUAGCUUGACACUGAACAUUGAGCCUUGAUGUGUAGGAUAGGUGGGAGGCUUUGAAGUGUGGACGCCAGUCUGCAUGGAGCCGACCUUGAAAUACCACCCUUUAAUGUUUGAUGUUCUAACGUUGACCCGUAAUCCGGGUUGCGGACAGUGUCUGGUGGGUAGUUUGACUGGGGCGGUCUCCUCCUAAAGAGUAACGGAGGAGCACGAAGGUUGGCUAAUCCUGGUCGGACAUCAGGAGGUUAGUGCAAUGGCAUAAGCCAGCUUGACUGCGAGCGUGACGGCGCGAGCAGGUGCGAAAGCAGGUCAUAGUGAUCCGGUGGUUCUGAAUGGAAGGGCCAUCGCUCAACGGAUAAAAGGUACUCCGGGGAUAACAGGCUGAUACCGCCCAAGAGUUCAUAUCGACGGCGGUGUUUGGCACCUCGAUGUCGGCUCAUCACAUCCUGGGGCUGAAGUAGGUCCCAAGGGUAUGGCUGUUCGCCAUUUAAAGUGGUACGCGAGCUGGGUUUAGAACGUCGUGAGACAGUUCGGUCCCUAUCUGCCGUGGGCGCUGGAGAACUGAGGGGGGCUGCUCCUAGUACGAGAGGACCGGAGUGGACGCAUCACUGGUGUUCGGGUUGUCAUGCCAAUGGCACUGCCCGGUAGCUAAAUGCGGAAGAGAUAAGUGCUGAAAGCAUCUAAGCACGAAACUUGCCCCGAGAUGAGUUCUCCCUGACUCCUUGAGAGUCCUGAAGGAACGUUGAAGACGACGACGUUGAUAGGCCGGGUGUGUAAGCGCAGCGAUGCGUUGAGCUAACCGGUACUAAUGAACCGUGAGGCUUAACCUU
rnacentral:rRNA from 1 species